rnacentral:rRNA from 1 species
AGAGUUUGAUCCUGGCUCAGGGUCGGUUAAACAUCCAUCGGACUGUGUUUGCGCACAGGCCGCACUGGGCUCUCGUUACAGGCUCUCGGGCCGCAACGGUGCCUCAAAGUAUACCGUGCGGAGUUUUGCAACGACUCAACUCUUGGACCUCACAGUCUGGGUUGGCCUGUUUGCUGGCUGUACGUGUAUGGUGCCGGGCUUCUGUCCGACGCGCACCACCCAACUCAUUUUCGACCUGAGAUUAGGUAAGAUUACCCGCUGAAUUUAAGCAUAUUAAUAAGCGGAGGAAAAGAAAACAACUGUGAUUCCCUUAGUAAUGGCGAAUGAAACGGGAACAGCCCAUCGCGUAACUGCAGGUCAUCUUGGCCUCGCGGAAUGUCGCGUUCGGGAGAGUCUCAUCGGGAGCUGGACGGCCAGUCAAAGUCCAACUUGACAGUGGCCACUGCCCAUAGAGGGUGAUAGGCCCGUAAGGCGGCCGUCCGUUUCCGCCGACUUUUCCCUAGAGUCGGGUUGCUUGGGAGUGCAGCCCAAAGUGCGAGGUAAACUCCUCGUAAGGCUAAAUAUGACCCCGAGACCGAUAGCAAACAAGUACCGUGAGGGAAAAUUGAAAAGAACUUUGAAGAGAGAGUUCAAUAGUACGUGAAACUGUGUGGUGGUAAACGGAGGGGUUCUCGAAGUUUCUGCGUGGAACUCAACCUUGGUGUCGGGCGGUCCUGGUGUAUCUGAUCAGCAAUGACUGUGCGCUUGGUUCGGCUUGGCUCCCGGGUGCAUUUUCCAAGCAGUUUACGGCAGGAACCGUUUGGCUCGGACCAAAGGCCUCGGGCGAAGUUGUAGGUAUUUUGCUUGCAGCCCCGGGUGUCCUGGCUCUGCGCUCGACGGGUACGUGAGAGGACUCGUAUAGCGAGCAACGCUCUGUUGCGGUUCUCAUCUCUCUGCCGAGUAGGUCGGCGGCCCCUCCGACCCGUCUUGAAACACGGACCAAGGAGUCUAACAUGUAUGCGAGCCAUUGGGUUGACUAAACCUAGGGGCGCAGUGAAAGCAAAGAGUAGCUUGUCUGCUCGAGGGACGAUCCGCAAGGCGCAGUCCCGUGACAUCCAAUCAACCUCGCAUUGUUGGGUGUACACAGAGUAUAAAUGUUGGGACCCGAAAGAUGGUGAGCUAUGCCUGGCCAGGUUGAAGUCAGGGGAAACCCUGAUGGAGGACCGUAGCGAUUCUGACGUGCAAAUCGAUCGUCGGAGCUGGGUAUAGGGGCGAAAGACUAAUCGAACCAUCUAGUAGCUGGUUCCUGCCGAAGUUUCCCUCAGGAUAGCUGGUGCUCGUAAACGAGUUUCAUCCGGUAAAGCGAAUGAUUAGAAGCAUUGGGGGCGAAACGCCCUCAACUUAUUCUCAAACUUUAAAUGGGUGAGAAGUCCGUCUUGCUUGAGUGAAGUCGGACACUGAAUCGGAGUGCCAAGUGGGCCAUUUUUGGUAAGCAGAACUGGCGCUGUGGGAUGAACCAAACGCGGGGUUAAAGUGCCAAAGUAGAAGCUCAUCAGAUCCCACGAAAGGUGUUGGUUGCUUAAGACAGCAGGACGGUGGCCAUGGAAGUCGUAACAAGGUAACC